rnacentral:rRNA from 1 species
CAGCAGCCGCGGGAAUACGUAGGGUGCGAGCGUUAAUCGGAAUUACUGGGCGUAAAGCGUGCGCAGGCGGUUGUGUAAGACAGGUGUGAAAUCCCCGGGCUUAACCUGGGAACUGCGCUUGUGACUGCACAGCUAGAGUAUGGCAGAGGGGGGUGGAAUUCCACGUGUAGCAGUGAAAUACGUAGAGAUGUGGAGGAACACCGAUGGCGAAGGCAGCCCCCUGGGCCAAUACUGACGCUCAUGCACGAAAGCGUGGGGAGCAAACAGGAUUAGAUACCCCUGUAGUCCCUGUCUCUUAUAC